GCGCCCGUAGCUCAGCGGACCAGAGCGCCAGUCUUCGGAACUGGCUGUCGUGGGUUCGAAUCCCACCGGGCGUG
rnacentral:tRNA from 1 species